CCCUACGGGUGGCUGCAGUGGGGAAUAUUGGACAAUGGGCGAAAGCCUGAUCCAGCCAUGCCGCGUGUGUGAAGAAGGCCUUCGGGUUGUAAAGCACUUUCAGUGGGGAAGAAAGCCUUGGGGCUAAUACCCUCGAGGAAGGACAUCACCCACAGAAGAAGCACCGGCUAACUCCGUGCCAGCAGCCGCGGUAAUACGGAGGGUGCGAGCGUUAAUCGGAAUUACUGGGCGUAAAGCGCGCGUAGGCGGUCUGAUAAGCCGGUUGUGAAAGCCCCGGGCUCAACCUGGGAACGGCAUCCGGAACUGUCAGGCUAGAGUGCAGGAGAGGAAGGUAGAAUUCCCGGUGUAGCGGUGAAAUGCGUAGAGAUCGGGAGGAAUACCAGUGGCGAAGGCGGCCUUCUGGACUGACACUGACGCUGAGGUGCGAAAGCGUGGGUAGCAAACAGGAUUAGAUACCCGGGUAGUC
rnacentral:rRNA from 1 species